GAUGAACGCUAGCGGCAGGCUUAACACAUGCAAGUCGAGGGGUAUAGUUCUUCGGAGCUAGAGACCGGCGCACGGGUGCGUAACGCGUAUGCAAUCUACCUUUUGCAGAGGGAUAGCCCAGAGAAAUUUGGAUUAAUACCUCAUAGUAUGUGAGAAUGGCAUCAUUUUCACAUUAAAGUUACAACGGCAAAAGAUGAGCAUGCGUCCCAUUAGCUUGUUGGUAAGGUAACGGCUUACAAAGGCAACGAUGGGUAGGGGUCCUGAGAGGGAGAUCCCCCACACUGGUACUGAGACACGGACCAGACUCCUACGGGAGGCAGCAGUGAGGAAUAUUGGACAAUGGGCGCAAGCCUGAUCCAGCCAUGCCGCGUGCAGGAUGACGGUCCUAUGGAUUGUAAACUGCUUUUGUACAGGAAGAAACACUGGUUCGUGAACCAGCUUGACGGUACUGUAAGAAUAAGGAUCGGCUAACUCCGUGCCAGCCGCCGCAGUAAUAC
rnacentral:rRNA from 1 species